rnacentral:rRNA from 1 species
CCCUUAGAUGUUCUGGGCCGCACGCGCGCUACACUGACGAAUGCAGCGAGCUUAUAACCUUGGCCGAAAGGUCUGGGUAAUCUCCAAAUUUCGUCGUGAUGGGGAUAGAUUAUUGCAAUUAUUAAUCUUCAACGAGGAAUGCCUAGUAAGCGCAAGUCAUCAGCUUGCGUUGAUUACGUCCCUGCCCUUUGUACACACCGCCCGUCGCUCCUACCGAUUGAAUGAUUUAGUGAGGACUUCGGACUGGGACCGAUGCGGCUUUCGGGCUGCGUCGGUAUUCUGGAAAGAUGUCCAAACUGUAUCAUUUAGAGGAAGUAAAAGUCGUAACA